UUAUCCUCAUCAAAUUAGGAAAAGUCAUGAAAUAUGAAGAAAAAAAAGUCAACUAUUAUUUUUGAAUGAUAAACAUUGAAUGGGGUCAAAUUGACCCUGAGGAUAAUACGAGGGUUAAGUAAUGUAUUUAUCCAGAAAAAUCC